rnacentral:lncRNA from 1 species
GUUUGAUUUUCUGUUCUUGUAUCAGUUUGGCUUUUGUUAAGGGUUAGUUCCAAAUGGUGGUGUCUCCAGAGAGCUGACGAUCUCAGAAUGCUUUUGAAUUUGCACAGCGAAGCCUUCAAGUCCUGCCUUGGCAGUUUCAACAGAAGCAUAAAGGAUGCAAGGAAUCACAGACAUGAUGAAGGGGAAGAGCAUGAGGAAUAGUGACCCAAGGAAGGAAGGUAAGAAGGAUUUGUCAUCUGAAAACUCCGAUAUGGAGGUGAAUGGCCGGAGAAUGUUCUAGAGAGCCAUGCAAGAUUACCA